CGCCCCAACUCCCGCCGAGCUCCACCCGAGCUCCCGCCGGAGCCACGCCCCAACUCCCGCCGAGCUCCCGCCGGAGCCACGCCCCAACUCCCGCCGAGCUCCCCCCGAGCUUCUCAGGAUCUGCUGCUGAGCGGAUCUCCUGCUGAGCUCCUCAGCUCCAUACGUCAGUUAGAGUGUAGCCUUCAGAAGAAAGAGCCUUCACACAGAACCCUCCACCCUGAUGUGGUCAUGAGAAAUAGCUGACAGAGAAUCAGCAGACAUUUGUCUAAGCUUUUCUUAAGCUUUCAACAAAGGUUACAGUCACCAUGUUUGAAGGUUGACUCAGAGCAUUCUACGUAUGACUCUUAGGAUUUGCUGUGUUUUUAAACUUAUGUCUGUGUUCAAUAUGUAUUUUUUCUUCUAAAGAGGUUCACAUUGGUCUUUUUUUUUUCUUUAGUAUGAGCUUUUUGAUUUCUGAUGACAUCUCUAAUAUAUCUUCCAAUGUUCUUGACAUUUCCCUCAGCUAGAUACAUACUGAAAGUUUUCUAAUUUACGAAAUAAAUACUGAUCCAGGUCUGCACUCUUAUCAUGCAUAAAAACAACACUGAAAAUGUUCUUGUGUGUCAAAUCAUGGUCUGGAAGUCCUCUUUUGUGAGCAUAAAGCUCAGAGCAAUUUAUUUUAGACCAUAUUUCUCCUACUUAUUUUACAUAUUUCUUUCUUAUAAACUGGUGCCAAAAAGCCAGGCUAUAUUCUCCACUAUUGCUUCCCCUUUGGCCAUUAGGUUGCUUUUCUUCUUUUCUUCCUGUACAGGAAUACUGAGUAGCCCUCCAAUUGAAGGGAAUAGUCCUUAGGCUGAAGAGAGAAAGUUAACACUUUCUCCCUUUUAAAGACACUGGAAAUUCAGUAAUCAUCUCUUGCUGGGAUGUUAAUGCACAACAGUCAAACAAAUUUAGGUUGCCUUACUACAAACACUUGAAGGCUUGGUGCUUCAUUUUGCUUGCAAAUUUUUUCUUAAGUGCAGAAGUAUGUUUGUACAUGUGCAUAAACAUCUGAUAUGUAAUUACCAUACUCAGUAGAAUAAACAUGAAAUAGGUUUCAAACUGGCAUGAUUAAAAACCAAUUUUGAUCUGAACAAAUACUGUAGAACUAAAUAACAAUUACAUUAUUUAGUUCCAUUUUUGUCAGCAUUGGAAUCCUAAAUCUGAACAAUCACAGCAUCACAGUAAAAAUAACUAUUAUUAAAAAAAAUACAUCACUAAAAAAGAAAACAUACAGCUCUCCAGGUCCUGACAGAUCUGCUCCAUUUUCUUCAUAAUAUGGAAACAAAUCCUCUCUUUCAAGCAGCUCUUGGUAUUUUUCUUGAUAAUCUGGCAAAGUAAAAAUGAGAAUGAGUAACAUAUAAGUCUAGUCUGCUAAAUUAACAGAAAUGUAUAAAGUUUGAAAAUUGGCUGGUUAAUGAAAUCAUAAAAGGCAGGAAACAUAUAAACAGGAAAAGAUCCUUCUGCAGUGUUUUCUCAGGACAUGAAUGGCUGUCUACAAAUAAUGCCUAACUUCCUAUAGAACUGUAAAAAUUGUGACAGAUGUCUUUACCUCAAAUGAGGUUAUACCACAUUGUGCUCAGAUUACAGAUACGGAGACCAAGGAUUUUGAAUUGAUUUUGAUACUAACAAUGGACAAACAAAAGAAGACUUGAAUAGUUCUGGCUUUCUUGAAAGGUCAGAUGCUGUGGACUACUGAAGAAGUUCUUCUGACCUGUGAGCUCAAAUGCACAGUUUCCAUUUCAAACACCUACCUUCUUUAACACAGAAUAAAUCACGGGGUCUACUAAACCAGGGAUUCAAGCAGAAUUUUGUCUUUUAAGCUGAAUAGGUUUUAGACUCUCAAAAAUAACAUUUUAUGUUAUUCAACAGGCUGUAAACUUAAUUACAACUUUUUAAAAAAGAUUGAGAAGACAGGCAAGCUAAAUUUGUGCCCUACCUGGGUCUGCUGCAGUGAAAGGAACGCCAUCAGAAGUGUAAAAUGUUGGUUCAUUCUAAAAAUAAAGUCAUCAAGAAAGUUAUAUGUAUUCACAGAGAAAGAUUUAUGGUUUCAAGUAAUGCAAUUGUUGAUGGAUCAAACCAAAUUCACAUGAAAUUAAGGAACUGAAACGUCCAUACAUUCUUACCAUAAAAUAGUUUGGGUCGUUUUCAGGGGUAGCUUCUGCAUGUGGAGUUGUUCCAUGAACUCUACCCCAGUUACUAGAUCGCAG